rnacentral:rRNA from 1 species
GGGUUGUGAGGUUAAGCGACUAAGCGUACACGGUGGAUGCCUUGGCAGUCAGAGGCGAUGAAGGACGUGCUAAUCUGCGAUAAGCGUCGGUAAGGUGAUAUGAACCGUUAUAACCGGCGAUUUCCGAAUGGGGAAACCCAGUGUGUUUCGACACACUAUCAUUAACUGAAUCCAUAGGUUAAUGAGGCGAACCGGGGGAACUGAAACAUCUAAGUACCCCGAGGAAAAGAAAUCAACCGAGAUUCCCCCAGUAGCGGCGAGCGAACGGGGAGCAGCCCAGAGCCUGAAUCAGUGUGUGUGUUAGUGGAAGCGUCUGGAAAGGCGCGCGAUACAGGGUGACAGCCCCGUACACAAAAAUGCACAUGCUGUGAGCUCGAUGAGUAGGGCGGGACACGUGGUAUCCUGUCUGAAUAUGGGGGGACCAUCCUCCAAGGCUAAAUACUCCUGACUGACCGAUAGUGAACCAGUACCGUGAGGGAAAGGCGAAAAGAACCCCGGCGAGGGGAGUGAAAAAGAACCUGAAACCGUGUACGUACAAGCAGUGGGAGCACGCUUAGGCGUGUGACUGCGUACCUUUUGUAUAAUGGGUCAGCGACUUAUAUUCUGUAGCAAGGUUAACCGAAUAGGGGAGCCGAAGGGAAACCGAGUCUUAACUGGGCGUUAAGUUGCAGGGUAUAGACCCGAAACCCGGUGAUCUAGCCAUGGGCAGGUUGAAGGUUGGGUAACACUAACUGGAGGACCGAACCGACUAAUGUUGAAAAAUUAGCGGAUGACUUGUGGCUGGGGGUGAAAGGCCAAUCAAACCGGGAGAUAGCUGGUUCUCCCCGAAAGCUAUUUAGGUAGCGCCUCGUGAAUUCAUCUCCGGGGGUAG